AUGAAGAAGAAGAAGAAGAAGAAGAAGAAGAAGAAGAAGAAAAAGAAAGGAGAGCGAGGUACAAUGCAGAAUCUGUUUUGCAUAUCCUGUACCAGAUUCUGCCUGUUACAAGCUUGCGAAUUCCAGUUUGAGUUAGACUAGUGGUGGGGCCAUGUGGUGUCAGGUCUUGGGGUGACGAGCACAGUGGUCAUCGCGAAGGUGGAUGGGCGUGAACAAAUCUCACAGAGUGGCAUCAGAGAAGGAGAAGAACGGCUAUUGGGCGGUGAUGAAGUGAGGUGUGUUGUGUAUGCAUUGAAAGGCAGUGGCAUGGCACGUCCUGCUCCUCGGCACAGGGUUAUGUCAUUAAGGUCCAGGUCAGAGAAUAAGUUGUGGAAUUCUAAGGCAAAGGUGUAACAGCGGAACACUGCAUGAGGAACCGGGCGUCAUCCGUCGUGAGUGCACUGUGGCAAUAGACAGACGCGGAGGCACUGGCAUCUUCCUUAUGUUAGGUAUUGUGAAAGCGACUAUAUGAGGUUCAGCGGAGCAAUACCUUGGAGGCUGGGGGGCUGGAGAGUAUGAGCGCUGAUACCUUAGGAAGAGAAAGUGCCUCUCCUCGGCUGUGUCUGCUGCCUCGUUAUCCUGCCUGAGUGACUUGAGACAGUUCAGAGUUCACGGGUAGUCAGAAAUAUACAUGGAGUGUACAGUGAAAGUGUCGAUGGGAGACAGUGGUGUGAUGGAAUGUAUCAGUGUAGACCAGAGUACAGGGAAUGAACACUAAGACCGAUUAAGUGUUCCUCCUCCUCCUCCUCCUCCUCCUCCUCCUCCUCCUCCUUCAUUCCCCCUCUUCCUCCCGCAUUUUCACCUGUUUCUAAGUAUUGCUUUUGUUGUCCAUAUUAAUUUUUUUCCCACAAUUUCUUCUGUCGUCACUUUUCUGUGAUUGCAAAAGAGGAAAGGGAGGAGGAGGAGAAAGGGGAGGAAGAAAGACAGAAACAAUAACAACAAUAAUAACUACUACUAUUACUACUACUACUACUACUACUACAGCAACAACAACAGCAGCAGCAGCAGCAACAGCAUCAUCAACAACAACAACAACAACAACAACAACAGCAACAACAACAACAACAGCAGCAGCAGCAGCAGCAGCAGCAGCAGCAACAGCAGCAGCAGCAGCAGCAGCAGCAAAACCAACACCACCACCACCAACAAUAACAAUAACAACAACAAAUAACAACAACAACAACAACAACAACAACAACAACAACAACAACAACAUCGACAAAUAAGAACAGCAAUAACAACAACAACAAAAACAACAACAACAACAACAACAACAACAACAACAAUCUCUCUCUCUCUCUCUCUCUCUCUCUCUCUCUCUCUCUCUCUCUCUCUCUCUCUCUCUCUCUCUCUCUCGACACGUCACACAUCCAGCCAUCCCUCAAGUUCAAGGCGCCAGGCGGGCCGCGAGGUGUAUAUAAGGAGGUGAGGAAGCGAAGUUCACUCAGUGCCACUCCAGACACCGACAAGAGAGAGCCCGCCAGCCCUUGAGCGUCACACCUUCACAUACAGUUAGUCGGAACUGCAGCUGAACCACACACCAAUCUUUUCUCGCACCAGAAAACACUCAGAGUAUUUCAGAUCGAUUCAUUCACUGGGAUUUCUGGUCGAGUCUACAGUAACUCCCAUCCAAUCAAUUAAGAUGCGUGUGUGGGCACUGCUGCUGGCUGUCCUUACUGUGGUGUGCGCGAUGGCGGGAAUGACGGAGGCCAUGCCGGAACCUCAGCGGCCUGGUGGACUCCUCUCCAGGAGAACGUUUGGCUUCAGGAGGUUCACCAAUAGCCGCAGGAGAGCCUCGUCGAGGCCGAGCAACUCUUGCACCAACCAGGGCCUGUUCGUGGUGUGCGGCUAAGCAGACAUCCCUCCUCCAGUCACUCCUCCGGGAUGCCUCCGCGCGGCCUCUCUCCCUGCGGCGCCUGUUCCUGCCCAGGACGGCGUCCAGUGUCACCGACUGGCACACGGUGAUAGGGACGCUGUGAUAAGGGCACAGUGACAGACCCGCUCUCUACAUACACCCAUUAUCCUCCCCUCCCCUUCCUCCCCAUUCCCCUUGCCAGGCUAUUAUUGGCCAUUCAUUCCCCUAACUCUCACCUUCCUUUCCCUCUCCCCUGCCAACCUGCUAGUAGUCAUUUAUCAAGUCCCCGCCCAUUCCCUGGCAAAACCCUUCUCUUCCCUUCGUCCCCUUCCCCCUGCUAGACUACCAUUUAUCAUUUAUACAUCCAUGAACCUUCCCCUGCCUUCCCCUUCCUUCGCCUUCACCCUCUUCCCCUGCCAGUGCUAGAGUCCAUUUGCUCCAUCCUCUGUCAUUCUCUUUAUCCCUUUCCCCUUCCUCAUUCGUCCCCUCUCCCCUGCCUCGCUGCCAGUGUUCAUCCUCCCCAGCAUCUGCCACUUCCUGUCCUCUUAUGCCCCGUAGCUUAAGGCGAAGUCACGUGGAUGAAGCAGCGAAAUAUUGAAGUUUUAUUUCGUGUUUGUCCCGUGAACUUUAUGUAGUGGUGGUGGUGGUGGUGGUGGCGGUGGUGGUGGUGAAUCCUCCCCCACACGUCCCCUCCCCUCCACUCUCCUCUUUAUCCUAUAUACGUAAGUUAGUUUGCAUUUUUAUUUAUACGCGUUAUUUUUUAUCACACCGACAAAUCGAUCGAUGUGGAAAUAAUAAAAAUAUAUACAACAUGA